UACAGAGGUCUCAAGCGUUGUUCGGAUUCAUUGGGCGUAAAGGGUGCGUAGGUGGCAUGGUCAGUCGGAUGUGAAAGCCCGGGGCUCAACCCCGGAGGUGCAUCCGAAACUCUGGGGCUGGAGGUCGGAAGAGGAGGGUGGAAUACCCAGUGUAGAGGUGAAAUUCGUAGAUAUUGGGUGGAACACCGGUGGCGAAAGCGGCUCUCUGGUCCGGACCUGACGCUGAGGCGCGAAAGCGUGGGGAGCAAACAGG
rnacentral:rRNA from 1 species